UACGGGGGGGGCAAGCGUUGUUCGGAAUUACUGGGCGUAAAGGGCUCGUAGGCGGCCAACUAAGUCAGACGUGAAAUCCCUCGGCUUAACCGGGGAACUGCGUCUGAUACUGGAUGGCUUGAGGUUGGGAGAGGGAUGCGGAAUUCCAGGUGUAGCGGUGAAAUGCGUAGAUAUCUGGAGGAACACCGGUGGCGAAGGCGGCAUUCUGGACCAAUUCUGACGCUGAGGAGCGAAAGCCAGGGGAGCAAACGGG
rnacentral:rRNA from 1 species